rnacentral:tRNA from 1 species
CAGUAGUUANACUCUACUAUGAAGGG